GAUGAACGCUGGCGGCGUGCUUAACACAUGCAAGUCGAACGGAAAGGCUCCUGCUUUCAGGGGUACUCGAGUGGCGAACGGGUGAGUAACACGUGGGUGAUCUGCCCUUCACUUCGGGAUAAGCCUUGGAAACUGGGUCUAAUACCGGAUAGGACGAUGUUUUGGAUGCCAUUGUGGAAAGUUUUUCGGUUUGGGAUGAGCUCGCGGCCUAUCAGCUUGUUGGUGGGGUAAUGGCUUACCAAGGCGUCGACGGGUAGCCGGCCUGAGAGGGUGUACGGCCACAUUGGGACUGAGAUACGGCCCAGAAUCCUACGGGAGGCAGCAGUGGGGAAUAUUGCACAAUGGGCGCAAGCCUGAUGCAGAGACGUCGCGUGGGGGAUGACGGCCUUCGGGUUGUAAACUCCUUUCGCUAGGGACGAAGCGCAAGUGACGGUACCUGGAGAAGAAGCACCGGCUAACUACGUG
rnacentral:rRNA from 1 species